ACGGGGCGUUACAGCAGUGGUAGAGGCAAGAUUUUCACCAAAGGAGUUCAACGUCUAUUAAACAUACAUAACAACAAACCCAACAUAAUCCUACAAAGUGAAGUCUGGAGAGGGCCAAGUGUAUGCACACCAGGUUGUUUCCUGUAGACUGUCGGCUCAGGAAAACAUCAAUUAUACAUACAUAACCAAAAAAGAAACAAAGUUGACCUCAUAUACAGAGUGUGAUUCUCCGGCGAAGGGGGUUUCGUUGACCUCAUACAUAGAGUGUGAUCUUCCGGCGAAGGGGGGUUCAUCCACUAGCUCCGGCCAAAGGAAAAGCAGGAGGGAGAGCGAGUUACCGGGGAGCACCGGCUAGCUCAGAGCUUCGGUUGCUUCUUAGGAAAGAACAAGAACAAGUGGUGACAUGAUGCAGCAGGAUUAACAAAUAUAUGUGUGGGUGUGGGUGUGCGCGCGAGCGUGGGCGUGUGGGAGAGAGAGUGAACUGCUGCAGACCACAAAUAUAAACAUAAAACCAGGAUAAGAAUUAAAAAGGCUUUCUUGACUUCAUUUUUGUGUGUUGUAGUUUUCAAAUGAAAUUUCAACAGCAUGACUUACAGAGUCUUUCUUGGCUUCAUUUUCCUACUCUUUUAGCUAUUUAAAUAUGCUUGAUUAGAUCACAGUAAAGUAUUCUCUUUUUAAUAAAAUUGAUCCACAUAAAUAAAUUAAUGUCUAAUCAAGUAUAAGGAUUUGCCAUUAAUAUAUUUUUUUCCUAUUUUUUUCUUUUGCAAGGGUUGGGAUUAUACAUCAAAUUGAAUGAAUUUCUGUGAUGUAGCUUUCUUUGAAAUUUCUAUAGCUAAGAAUUUUAUGACUUUAAUGUUACCAACAAAUGAUUUAAUUUCAAUGUAAAAUAAACGCCAGACUUAACGCCGACGGUAAUUUGUUUCUGAAAUACUUGAUUUUUCCUUCCGCUAUUCUUUUCCAUGGAUAUAAAGAUUUCCACAUUUUGAAAAGUAAUUGCCAAACACUUUUGAACUAUUAAUAUACUUUUCCAUGGAAAGUGAAACAUUGAUUCCUAUGUCAAUUGUAAAUUUAUGAAUGAAUAUUUAUAUUAUAUAUGCCAUUUUCAACAACCAAAAAAGAUUUAUUCCCUCCAUCCCUCUAAUUUGAAAAAUAUUUACCUAUACUUUUUCAUGGUGCGAUAUUGUCCGUUUUGGAUCUAGCCUGCAUGAUUUUCCCCAAAAGGUCUUACACCGUUAAGAGAUUUUACCCCUUAAAUGUAGCUUCUCGAUCGAUUUUUUUAGCUACCAAUGUAGGACGUUCGUUCACAUGCCCAACAAUUUCCCCCUCGAACUAAAUUCCACAUGACUCAUCACUGUCAUCACGAUCCAUGGAUCAUCGAGAUUUAUUUUUGCCGCGCACAUCGUUUGAGUAUUUUUAUGCAUACCGAAGUCCACAACUAGCUUCUUCUUGUGUGUGCAUCUCCGCCACAUCUUCCUACUCAUCCCGCUGAACUUGAGUUUUGAUACCAGUUGUUGGACUAAACUAGUCAAAAGACACCGUACCCUUACAUGGUGUGAUAUUGUCCCCCAGAAAGC
rnacentral:lncRNA from 1 species